AACUAUAACGGUCCUAAGGUAGCGAAAUUCCUUGUCAGGUAAGUUCUGACCCGCAUGAAAGGCGUAAUGAUUUGGGCACUGUCUCGACAGCCCGCCCGGCGAAAUUGUAGUACCGGUGAAGAUGCCGGUUACCCGCGACAAGACGGAAAGACCCCAUGGAGCUUUACUGUAGCCUAAUAUUGGGUUUCGAUGUUGCAUGCACAGGAUAGAUGGGACACAGGGAAACAAGUGCUUUGGCAUUUGUGGAGUGGCCGUUGGGAUACCAUCCUUGCGAUAUUGGAAUUCUAACCUGCGCCUUUGAAUCAAGGCGGGGGACAUUGUUAGGUGGGCAGUUUGACUGGGGCGGUCGCCUCCUAAAGAGUAACGGAGGCGUUCAAAGGUUCGCUCAGCUUGAACGGAAAUCAAGCAAAAGAGUGCAAACGCAGAAGCGAGCCUAACUGCGAGACUGACGGGUCGAGCAGUAACGAAAGUUGGAGUUAGUGAUCCGGUGGUAUGUGAGUGGAAAUGCCAUCGCUCAACGGAUAAAAGUUACCCUGGGGAUAACAGGCUGAUCUCCCCCAAGAGUCCACAUCGACGGGGAGGUUUGGCACCUCGAUGUCGGCUCAUCGCAUCCUGGGGCUGUAUUCGGUCCCAAGGGUUUGGCUGUUCGCCAAUUAAAGCGGUACGCGAGCUGGGUUCAGAACGUCGUGAGACAGUUCGGUCCCUAUCUGUCGUGGGCGCAGGAUAUUUGAUGGGAGCUGUUCCUAGUACGAGAGGACCGGAGCGGACGUACCUCUGGCGCACCAGUUGUUCUGCCAAGGGCAUAGCUGGGCAACUAUGUACGGAUCGGAUAAACGCUGAAAGCAUCUAAGCGUGAAGCCGACCCAAAGAUAAGAUAUCCCAUUGUUUCAAACAAGUAAGACCCCUUGAAGACUACAAGGUUGAUAGGCACGAUGUGUAAGUGGAGUGAUCCAUUCAGCAAGCGUGUACUAAUAGGUCGAGGGCUUGACCAC
rnacentral:rRNA from 1 species